AAGGCCUUAAGUUAAACUAAACUAAUAACCUUCAAAGCUAUAAAUAAAGGACGUUCGACCUUUAGGCCUUG
rnacentral:tRNA from 2 species